rnacentral:rRNA from 1 species
GGAGUUAGCCGGUGCUUCUUCUGUGAGUGAUGUCCUUCCUGCCGGCUAUUAACCCGCAGGCCUUCUUCCUCACUGAAAGUGCUUUACAACCCGAAGGCCUUCUUCACACACGCGGCAUGGCUGGAUCAGGGUUGCCCCCAUUGUCCAAUAUUCCCCACUGCUGCCUCCCGUAGGAGUCUGGGCCGUGUCUCAGUCCCAGUGUGGCUGAUCAUCCUCUCAGACCAGCUACGGAUCGUCGCCUUGGUGAGCCGUUACCUCACCAACCAGCUAAUCCGACAUAGGCUCAUCCGAUAGCGCGAGGCCCGAAGGUCCCCCGCUUUCCCCCGUAGGGCGUAUGCGGUAUUAGCCUGGGUUUCCCCAGGUUAUCCCCCACUACCGGGCAGAUUCCUAUGCAUUACUCACCCGUCCGCCGCUCGCCACCAGGGAGCAAGCUCCCCGUGCUGCCGCUCGACUUGCAUGUGUUAGGCCUGCCGCCAGCGUUCAAUCUGAGCCAUGAUCAAAAUUCUGA